GGUCCCCACCAAGGCAGCGUUGAAAUACUACGCCGACGUGGGGGAGGGCUCAUCUCAGGGUGUUGCUGUGCCUUCCACUUCCGGUGCCGGGCAUCGGUCCUCUCGAGUUAGGCACAUUGCGGUGCCGCUCGGGGCCGAUGUUCCGGGGACGA
rnacentral:ncRNA from 1 species